rnacentral:rRNA from 1 species
UACGUAGGUGGCAAGCGUUGUCCGGAAUUAUUGGGCGUAAAGCGCGCGCAGGCGGCCUUUUAAGUCUGAUGUGAAAGCCCACGGCUCAACCGUGGAAGGUCAUUGGAAACUGCAAGGCUUGAGUACAGAAGAGGAAAGCGGAAUUCCACGUGUAGCGGUGAAAUGCGUAGAGAUGUGGAGGAACACCAGUGGCGAAGGAGGCUUUCUGGUCUGUAACUGACGCUGAGGCGCGAAAGCGUGGGGAGCAAACAGG